AUCUAGCUGAGGAGUUUUACAUAAGAUGAAACGCGCGUCCUGGAU
rnacentral:hammerhead_ribozyme from 1 species